rnacentral:rRNA from 1 species
AGAGUUUGAUCCUGGCUCAGGAUGAACGCUAGCUACAGGCUUAACACAUGCAAGUCGAGGGGAAACGGCAUUGAGUGCUUGCACUCUUUGGACGUCGACCGGCGCACGGGUGAGUAACGCGUAUCCAACCUUCCCAUUACUGUGGGAUAACCUGCCGAAAGGCAGACUAAUACCGCAUAGUCUUCGAUGACGGCAUCAGAUUUGAAGUAAAGAUUUAUCGGUAAUGGAUGGGGAUGCGUCUGAUUAGCUUGUUGGCGGGGUAACGGCCCACCAAGGCGACGAUCAGUAGGGGUUCUGAGAGGAAGGUCCCCCACAUUGGAACUGAGACACGGUCCAAACUCCUACGGGAGGCAGCAGUGAGGAAUAUUGGUCAAUGGACGGAAGUCUGAACCAGCCAAGUAGCGUGCAGGAUGACGGCCCUAUGGGUUGUAAACUGCUUUUGUAUGGGGAUAAAGUUAGGGACGUGUCCCUAUUUGCAGGUACCAUACGAAUAAGGACCGGCUAAUUCCGUGCCAGCAGCCGCGGUAAUACGGAAGGUCCAGGCGUUAUCCGGAUUUAUUGGGUUUAAAGGGAGCGUAGGCUGGAGAUUAAGUGUGUUGUGAAAUGUAGACGCUCAACGUCUGACUUGCAGCGCAUACUGGUUUCCUUGAGUACGCACAACGUUGGCGGAAUUCGUCGUGUAGCGGUGAAAUGCUUAGAUAUGACGAAGAACUCCGAUUGCGAAGGCAGCUGACGGGAGCGCAACUGACGCUUAAGCUCGAAGGUGCGGGUAUCGAACAGGAUUAGAUACCCUGGUAGUCCGCACAGUAAACGAUGGAUGCCCGCUGUUGGUACCUGGUAUCAGCGGCUAAGCGAAAGCAUUAAGCAUCCCACCUGGGGAGUACGCCGGCAACGGUGAAACUCAAAGGAAUUGACGGGGGCCCG